GGGCGGUUAGCUCAGCGGUAGAGCAUUGCCUUCACACGGCAAGGGUCACAGGUUCGAUUCCUGUACCGCCUACCA
rnacentral:tRNA from 1 species